UACAGAGGGUGCGAGCGUUAAUCGGAAUUGCUGGGCGUAAAGCGUGCGUAGACGGUUAUUUAAGUCGGGUGUGAAAGCCCCGGGCCCAACCUGGGAAUUGCAUUCGAGACUGAAUAGCUAGGGUACGGUAGAGGGAAGCGGAAUUCCAGGUGUAGCGGUGAAAUGCGUAGAUAUCUGGAGGAACACCGGUGGCGAAGGCGGCAUCCUGGACCGGCAUUGACGCUGAGGCGCGAAAGCCAGGGGAGCAAACGGG
rnacentral:rRNA from 1 species